AGCAGUGCUGCGCAGUGAUCGGAUAGGCCCUCUCUUUUGAGGGAUCAUCUUUUAGUUGUCUUCUCCCCAGCAAAGAAAGAUGCAAGCGCGGCGGUAGCUA
rnacentral:sRNA from 17 species